ACUCCAUAGGUCUAGGAUGCUGGAAUGCACCUAGGUUGAAAGUUCCGGCGCCUAAGGACGAGUCUGCGGACUAUCAGGUAGUAGUCAGGGUAAAGACCUGACUAACCUACGACGGAUACGGGUUGUGAGAGCAAUAGCCCGGAGACGAUAUCUGAGACACGAUAUCGGGCCCUACGGGGCGCAGCAGGCGCGAAAUCUUCACAAUGUGCGAAAACACGAUGAGGGGAUCCCAAGUGUUGGUUCGUAAGAGUCAUCUGUUUCUUUGUCUAAAAAACAGAGAGAGUAAGAGCUGGGUAAGACGGGUGCCAGCCGCCGCGGUAAUACCUGCAGCUCAAGUGGUGGCCGCUAUUAUUGGGCCUAAAACGUCCGUAGCCGGUUUAGUAAAUGCCUGGGUAAAUUGUGUAGCUCAACUAUACGAAUACCGGGUAGACUGCUAAACUUGGAACCGGGAGAGGCUAGAGGUACUCCUAGGGUAGAGGUGAAAUUCUGUAAUCCUAGGGGGACCACCAGUGGCGAAGGCGUCUAGCUAGAACGGGUUUGACGGUGAGGGACGAAGCCCUGGGGCGCAAACCGGAUUAGAUACCCGGGUAGUCCAGGGUGUAAACGCUGCUCGCUUGAUGUUAGUCGGGCUCCGAGCCCAACUAGUGUCGGAGAGAAGUUGUUAAGCGAGCUGCCUGGGAAGUACGGUCGCAAGGCUGAAACUUAAAGGAAUUGGCGGGGGAGCACAGCAACGGGUGGAGCGUGCGGUUUAACUGGAUCAAC
rnacentral:rRNA from 1 species